AGAAAACCACACUGACCGAGGGGAUCGGGUGAGAGGUUGAGGGAAGAGUCUGUGUUCGUCUCAGAGACGACGCCAGGACCUCGCCCCGGGCCCCUCCCCAAGCAGCACACCCUGACCCCCGGGGCGCCCUGCACUGGGCCUGAAGCACAGGUGUCCCCUGUGUCUCUUAGCCCAGGACCAGUCAGCUAGGACAGAGGGUCCCUAGGGUCAGAGUGACCAGACUCACCCCAGGGGCCGCGCUGCUCCCCGCCCCCCAGCGUCCACAGGGCAGCCAGAGGAUGCGAGCCGAGCCCAGCCCCACUGGGCCGAUGGCCAGGCAACACGGGCGGUCAUGCCCGGGCCUCCAGCGGCCUCCCCUUCCUCUCUGGCGGUGACCCCCCAAGCCAGUGGCACACGCUCCCCAGCCCUAGAUCCUAGGGAAGCAGGCUCCGGGCAGGUCUGGGUGGUGGCUCUGCUCACCUGUUGGUGUGUGUGCAGAUGAGCACCUUGGUGUGCGGCUGCCGGAUGACCUCCAGGGAGGCCAUAGCCAGCGUGUAGGUCUUGCCUGUGCCAAAAGGGCCGUAGAUGAGCAGCGGGGCAAUGGGCCGCCGGCCCCCUGGGGCUACUGCCCGCAAUGAAGGCCACAGCCAGCUUCUGCUUGCGGUUGCCCUGCAUUGCGGGCGGGAUCGGCAGAGGGUGGGGCAGGUUGCAAGUCGGCAGGUCAGGCACCACCAGGCGCUCCUCAGGCAGCGCGUCCACCGCCUGGUGCCAGAAGCGGAAGGUCAGCGGGUCGACCUGGAACUGCACCUCCAAGGUGGGGCUGGUUUCGGGCUGCAGCCCCAGGGCCGAGCAGCAGUGGUUGGGCAGCAGCAGCCACAGUGCCUGCUCGGAGCUGGCCCGGGUCUCCAGCCGCACCUCGUACACGGUGUGGUCAGGCGCGGGGACGGGGGCCACCAGCGCUGUGCUGACCGCCCGGCCCAGCAGGAAGCCCUGGUCCGUGUCUGGCAAGAGAGAGGAGGGGCUGGGGACCUCGGCGGCCCCCGGAGAGGGCUGUGCUCCUCGUUAGUACCCCCGUGACCGCUUUCCCUCCCGACCCUUCCUGUUGGGUGGCCCCCUAGGCCACAGGACAUAGACCACCAGCUUCACAGGCCCAGCUCCCGGACGUCCCCAGGGCAGGCCCCACUACCCGCUGCUCCACAGCCGAGGACGAGGACGCAGGGGUGGGGAGCGGCCGCGUCGGGGCUUGCGG
rnacentral:lncRNA from 1 species